UACCAUAUUACAUACUCCCCUAACUGACUACUCCUUUGCAUGCCUUUAACUCCUUGCUCAAAAGCACAUGCCUUCAACUUAAUAACAUGAUAAGGUUUUGGAAUAAAAUGCUUUUAUUGUGAUAAUUGCUCUUUUUACAUUCGUUAGAAUCCUUUCAAGCAGGGUCUCUAUCCACAUAAAUUUUGGCUAAUGCAGUUGAUCAAAUUAAAAAUGCCAAAAGAGUCACGAGAUAUAUGGGUAGUAAACUAGAAGCCUUGGUGGGUAUAUGCGGUAUUGAAGGAGAAUGAAGGGAUAUGAUUUUUUUAUUAAUGUAUUACUGCAGCUAUGGUAUGUAUUUUUUAUUGUGAAUUUGUUAUGCCAUUUUUAGAUUUUUUUUUUUUUAAGGUUGUUUUUCCUAUUUUCUAAGCAAAUUUAAAAUUAGCCAUGGUGUAUAGUAAAUAGAAUAAAUAAUAAUGAUAAUUUGAUCUGAACUCUUGCUUUCACAUGAGUUUGUAGUGAUAUUUUUUAGAUUUAAAAAUUCAUAAUUUAAAUACUUAGUAUUUUAAUUUUUUAUGAUCUUAAAUAGGAAUUUACUAGAAGAUUAAUUUGACAUUUCAUAAAUCUAUUAAAUAUUGAGUUUUGUUUUCUAGCUUUUUAUUUUAAAAUUUAAUUAAUUUAAAUUUAAUUUAAUUAUUUUAUAUUUUAUAUUCAGAGUAGUAUACUUUCAAUGCAAAAGCAUUAUAAUAUAGAUAGAUGCCUUAAAUUUCAUAUUACCUUCUAACUUAUUGGUUAAAUCCAUUAUUUUUAUCGAAACAUGUACUCAAGAGUCAAAGUUUUUCUCUAACCUUAAUACUUUUUUUUUAGUGUUAACAGAAAUUAAUUUCAUUUAUACUUUUUUCGGUAUUAACAUAAAUUCAUUUCAUUAAAACAGAUGUACAUGAACAGUAAACGAGAAUGAAAAAGAAAAUAAGCCGAAAGGAAAGUGAGAGGUAGAUGGAAAAACGAGAAACCAAUGGGAAAGGAAAUCUUGGGGCAGAUAGAUAUAUCUCGAGUAAGUAAAGCUUUACUCUAAGCCUCUAUUAAUGCGAGGAUUUAUCUUUGUCAAUAAAUUCAUCUUGUUAAAUCAUAAUUUCAUUUUUCUAUUAGUCUCUUUUCUUUUCUUUCUGGGUGAUGGUAAGUAUUUUUUAGGUUAUCUUGCUCUUGCCCCAUCUUUCUCUUCUUUGUUUACCACUAAUUUUUUUUUAUGUUAUUUAAAUUCACUACAUAUUGCUUGGCUUUUGCAUAUUAACUUUGUCAAUUUAUCAUUCUUUUGUUUUCACAGGUGACUUAUGGGAUGAAAAUGAAUGCUCUCAUGAUGUGAAUCUCAAUUCGUUUGGUUUGUUGUUUGCUUGGUUUUAUCGAGUGCUCAUAUUUGAAAUCUUAGCUUGGUGGUUUAUUUCCAGCUGAUCUUUUAUGAAUUGUUUAAUUUUUGUCUGUCAAUGAAAGAAACAUUAAUAAAUUGGGUAUCGGCC
rnacentral:lncRNA from 1 species